AGCUCCUUAUGGAGCGAAGUCUUUGAUUCCCCGCUGCCAAGAAAAGCUUCUAGCGAGAUAAAAGGUGCCUGUACCGCAAACCGACACAGGUAGGCGAGGAGAGAAUCCUAAGGUGUGCGAGAGAACUCUGGUUAAGGAACUCGGCAAAAUGACCCCGUAACUUCGGGAGAAGGGGUGCUUUCUUAACGGAAAGCCGCAGUGAAUAGGCCCAAGCGACUGUUUAGCAAAAACACAGCUCUCUGCGAAGCCGUAAGGCGAAGUAUAGGGGGUGACACCUGCCCGGUGCUGGAAGGUUAAGGAGAGGGGUUAGCGUAAGCGAAGCUCUGAACUGAAGCCCCAGUAAACGGCGGCCGUAACUAUAACGGUCCUAAGGUAGCGAAAUUCCUUGUCGGGUAAGUUCCGACCCGCACGAAAGGUGUAACGAUUUGGGCACUGUCUCAACCAGAGACUCGGUGAAAUUAUAGUACCUGUGAAGAUGCAGGUUACCCGCGACAGGACGGAAAGACCCCGUGGAGCUUUACUGUAGCCUGAUAUUGAAUUUUGGUACAGUUUGUACAGGAUAGGCGGGAGCCAUUGAAACCGGAGCGCUAGCUUCGGUGGAGGCGCUGGUGGGAUACCGCCCUGACUGUAUUGAAAUUCUAACCUACGGGUCUUAUCGACCCGGGAGACAGUGUCAGGUGGGCAGUUUGACUGGGGCGGUCGCCUCCUAAAGUGUAACGGAGGCGCCCAAAGGUUCCCUCAGAAUGGUUGGAAAUCAUUCGUAGAGUGCAAAGGCAUAAGGGAGCUUGACUGCGAGACCUACAAGUCGAGCAGGGACGAAAGUCGGGCUUAGUGAUCCGGUGGUUCCGCAUGGAAGGGCCAUCGCUCAACGGAUAAAAGCUACCCCGGGGAUAACAGGCUUAUCUCCCCCAAGAGUCCACAUCGACGGGGAGGUUUGGCACCUCGAUGUCGGCUCAUCGCAUCCUGGGGCUGUAGUCGGUCCCAAGGGUUGGGCUGUUCGCCCAUUAAAGCGGUACGCGAGCUGGGUUCAGAACGUCGUGAGACAGUUCGGUCCCUAUCCGUCGUGGGCGUAGGAAAUUUGAGAGGAGCUGUCCUUAGUACGAGAGGACCGGGAUGGACGCACCGCUGGUGUACCAGUUGUUCUGCCAAGGGCAUAGCUGGGUAGCUAUGUGCGGAAGGGAUAAGUGCUGAAAGCAUCUAAGCAUGAAGCCCCCCUCAAGAUGAGAUUUCCCAUAGCGUAAGCUAGUAAGAUCCCUGAAAGAUGAUCAGGUUGAUAGGUUCGAGGUGGAAGCAUGGUGACAUGUGGAGCUGACGAAUACUAAUAGAUCGAGGACU
rnacentral:rRNA from 1 species